CACUGGUGGAUGGUCAAAUCCCAAGAAUCAGAAGUCAAUAAAAGAAAUGAAGACCUGCUAGACCUUGAACCAGGCUAUAUACUUUGGACCAGCCGUACAAAAACUCUAGUGAAAUAAUACCUUUUGUGCUCUGUCUAUGGGUUUCCCGUCCUGACACCAGGGUAACAGUGUGUCAGAGAAAAGAACAUAACCAGACCUUCCAUGAAUUAUUGGACAUACUCUCUGAACCAAAAUGAAUUCUAGAAGAUUCAAAAUGUCACUCACUCAAUGGCUAGAGAAAAAGGUACAUGAAUGGAGAAAGAACGCCGUGAUUAAUGAAGUGUUUUAACAGUCAUGCUCAGGUUUUUGUUUUCAUCUACCCUCUGCAUAAAAUACACAUAGAAGGAAAAGUUAAGCUAAAGGAAAGAAAAUCAUCAUUGAAGAAAUUUCUUUAACCCUAGCCCCUUCCCCCCAAAAGGCAGUGCCUUGGGACAUAUAAGAAGAACACACAGACAACAUAGAAUAUUGUACGGCAGCUCUAGGAGUGCUUGCUGGGCAUUGCAAAAAAAAAAAAAA